rnacentral:lncRNA from 1 species
GAACACAUCUGCUGUCAUCCACUUUGCUUUUCCCCCCUGAUAAAAAUCCAUUUAGAAGCAGCCAUCAGAAAAUCAUGGGGGAAGGGAUGGCAAGAAGGAGAUGAUCCAACCUAAAAGCUACAAAGCCAACCAUGGCACUUUUGCUGGUUCUUGAAAUGCCUCUUGAGUCCUGCACCCCGCUGUCCACCAAAUAUAAUCUAUGUUAUUUACAGCAUGUACUUGGUACAGAUUACAGUCACUCAGAUGAAGGGGGAGAAAAAAGGGAACUAGAAGUAAUAAUAAAAUGGAAAAAAAAAAAAAAAAGGCAGGAAAUCAAUUGAAGGCCAGCAUGGUGUGCUGCACAAAGAUUCAAAUAAGGAACUUGCAGUGCAACAUGUUUGUGCACACAUGCAUAGAAAAUCAUAUUUUGCUUUUGAUCAAUUGCACAGAGCAAAAAUACGGGUUAUGCAGAAGAGCAGCACAAAAUAAACCUGCUAUGGAAAUGUAACUCAAUCAUGACCUCUGAUUGCCAGCUUCUCCCAUGUGCAGCAUCGCUGACUCAGAGGCAGGAAGUGCUAUUCUAGCUACCUGUUCCUACUCACUCUGUAUUUACAGACCUCAAGUAAAAUCACAACCUGCUCCGCACCCACUUCACCCCACCCUCAUAGCCAAAGCCAGCUACAGAUUGGCACGGAGUUGAACUUGUUGUCACGCUCCCUCCUCAUGGUUUACAUUUGCUCCGAGAUGUUCUGGGUAUUUCCUAUCUCAGUUUCUGCUUUCCACUGUGGGUUGCCUCCCCAUGGAACAAGUUAUUAUUACUCCAGUCUCUACCAACAACGCAAACAAAGCAGGUACAAGCUGACGCAACUCUGGAAAGUGCUGUACCAAACACUGAUGCAACCCCCCGGAGAGAUGCGAUUACUCCCCCGGAGUGCGUGGGAUGAGGAUGCCCUGCUUGCUCUCAUCUUGACUCCUGCUUUCGCCUUUGCCUGCCAGCACAAAACCUGGCACAGCUCUGUAACUCACGCCUUCCAGUCUGCGGCUUGGAAGAGCUCUGGUUGUGCCCCGUCACCAAAUGUUCCCAGGGAUGUUUUGUUUGGCUCCAGCAAGAAGCAAAUCUGACCCAAAGCUAGACCUGGAGCUGAAGACCCUACUUUGCCAUAAAACCAGCUUUUCAAGUUUGGAUUCAGAUCCUCAGCCUACAGGCAGACUUGUCCCAGCUGCACUGUCAUCCUGGCACCUGGUGCAACACAUUGCUACUCUUGCAGAAUAGCCAAAACAGUCAGGCAGGAGGAAAAAGGCGAAGGUGGAUCUCAGAAUUUGAAGGCUUGGAUUCAUUUAAGAGACAUAAAUUAAAUAUUGCAGCCAUAAGCAAAGCACAAGCAAAAAGAGAGUGCAUCUGGACCUCUGUGAAUCCCAUGUAAAACGCAACCCUUAACACAACUUGGCAAUACCUCUGCAGCUGAAUUAAGGUAUUUUUCUGGUUUUCCCACAGCAGGGAAUGCAGGAGGUUCUGAACUCAGCCAGCAAGAUUCUCUGGUCAUUUUAUGCACGCACCCUUACUUUACUACCUUGUGGACCCCUGAAAAAGCCUCUCUCCCAUGUUUGAGCAGAAAGGAAACCAAGUACAAGUUUCUGAAAACAAACAGGCCCUUUAAAUUAAGGUCUACAAAAUUAUUAGCCUUGUAUGAAAGCCAAUAUCUUGCAUAGUUACACCUAUGUGUAACUAUGUAAUAUAUUGGCUAGUCACCCAAUCUGUGUCUGGGAAGGAUUAACCCUGACCACAGCCCAGCCCAGCCAGGACAAGGACAGCCAAUCUAGCUUUUGGGGAGCUCUGCUGGAAAAGCAACUUUGAGCAUCACUGAACUGCAAGCCAUGCCAGGAGGUGAAACCUUUUUGGCACACAAACUGUGGGAGACCUUUGGUGUCUGGGCAGGAGUAUAAAGACCUUUACUGGUCCUGUUCCCACAGCAGGGGUCACACCACAGGUGAAUCUCAUCACCAGUCCAACCUAAACUCCACUCAUGGCAGCAAUCACAAAUGUGUUUUGAGACUCAAACAGAAAGUAAAAGAACAAAGCAUUGCUUAUAAAUUAUCUGAUGCAGCAGUUCCAGCCUGCCAGCUGUAAGGUAAGGAAGUAUUACCCUGCCCAUCGGUUAAGCCCAGGAAGGGGAUGCUCCUUUUAAAACUCAUCACCCUAGAACAUCUCCUCCUCCACCAUCAACUGUUCUCCCAGGAUUGGUUUAGAAAAACCAAGUCUACCACUCCCCUUCCAGCUUGCCCAUCUCUAUAUUUUGGUCGGUGUGGGAAAACAAGGCUGUCAGACCUGCACCUCCUCUCCUUCCCUCCCUUCUGGAUAGAGUGCAGGUUUGGUUUUCAAGUCUGCUUCUCUUGGACUAACGUGCUCUGCCAAGUUGCUGUCAGGGACAAAAUCAAGAGUACUGAAAUGGCAGGAAAAAGCUGAUCCCACACGAUACAUGGGGGAAAGGCAACACACAUCAAGGCCUCUGGAAAACAGACUCCUUUCUGGCUUUCCAGCUAUGUGCACAUUUAUGAGGUUUGAAUAAAAUUCAGCUGAAGCAUGCA